GCCAGACUCCUACGGGAGGCAGCAGUGGGGGAUAUUGCACAAUGGGGGGAACCCUGAUGCAGCGACGCCGCGUGGGUGAAGGAGUAUUUCGGUAUGUAAAGCCCUAUCGGCAGGGAAGAAGCAAGACGGUACCUGACUAAGAAGCCCCGGCUAACUACGUGCCAGCAGCCGCGGUAAUACGUAGGGGGCGAGCGUUAUCCGGAUUCACUGGGUGUAAAGGGAGCGUAGACGGCCAAGCAAGCCAGGGGUGAAAGCCCGGGGCCCAACCCUGGGACUGCUCUGGAAACUGUAAAGCUGGAGUGCGGGAGGGGCAGGCGGAAUUCCUGGUGUAGCGGUGAAAUGCGUAGAUAUCAGGAGGAACACCGGCGGCGAAGGCGGCCUGCUGGACCGUAACUGACGUUGAGGCUCGAAAGCGUGGGGAGCAAACAGGAUUAGAUACCCGUGUA
rnacentral:rRNA from 1 species